AUUGAACGCUGGCGGCAUGCCUUACACAUGCAAGUCGAACGGCAGCACGGGUUCUUGCCCCUGGUGGCGAGUGGCGAACGGGUGAGUAAUACAUCGGAACAUGUCCUGUAGUGGGGGAUAGCCCGGCGAAAGCCGGAUUAAUACCGCAUACGAUCUACGGAUGAAAGCGGGGGACCUUCGGGCCUCGCGCUGUAGGGUUGGCCGAUGGCUGAUUAGCUAGUUGGUGGGGUAAAGGCCUACCAAGGCGACGAUCAGUAGCUGGUCUGAGAGGACGACCAGCCACACUGGGACUGAGGCACGGCCCAGACUCCGACGGGAGGCAGCAGUGGGGAAUUUUGGACAAUGGGCGAAAGCCUGAUCCAGCAAUGCCGCGUGUGUGAAGAAGGCCUUCGGGUUGUAAAGCACUUUUGUCCGGAAAGAAAUCCUUGGCCCUAAUACGGUCGGGGGAUGACGGUACCGGAAGAAUAAGCACCGGCUAACUACGUG
rnacentral:rRNA from 1 species